AAGGGGUUUUUGAUACGCACUUUAUGUAUCUAAUUCCACGUUCAUCCAAAAUACUUAAGAGCUCAACUUUUUUGUUAUUUUCACCCUCUCGUUUCCUCGGCUCAAAAAAUUGUGCGAUUGCUUUUGAAGAAAAUAUACGUUCCCUAAAAAAUGUAAGAGACAAGUCGCUUUGUGUUACUACUUACUCUUUUGCCGAACUAGGAAGUGUACCAAGUAAAGGCAUAUAUGCAGUGGCAUCAAAUAAAAAAUCAUUGCGUUUUUCAUUUACUAUCGUUUCUUGCAUGGCCCAUGUUAUCAUUAGAACCGCUAAAUCUCUGGAAGCUGGCCUUUGCUCAACCAGAUGUCCUGUGGAGGAAUCAAUAAUUUUAAGCUCUCCAUUUUUAAAUCCAACAACUAUUAAAUUCCCUAUUUAUGUUAAUGAUACAAAAAAAGUUUUCCAGUCGAGCCACGUACCAUCGUGAUUCCAACACAAUUCAGUAGCCUCGAGAUCAUGAAAAUCGACAUCCCAAAUUCUUUGACUGUUACUUCUACAGCAAAUCAAAUGAUUUGAACACGUUAAUAUCGCAAUGAGUUCCAUAGAAGGGCAUAAGAUUACUCGUUUAAGGCCACUUCCAACCCUUUCAACUCUAUUAGUUUCAUUAAUCCAUUCAAAUUUAUGCUUUUUAGGGUAUUUGAAAGAUUUUGACACCAUUUGGAUAAGACUGGAUGAUUUUGGUGAUUCGUAGAAGUUUGUUUAUUGUAGUACAGCAAGUCAAUAAAAGC